GGGAAGUUGGCUCAGUGGUAGAGUGCUUGCCUUGCAUGCAUGAGGCCCUAGGUUCGAUUCCUCAGCACCA
rnacentral:tRNA from 1 species